rnacentral:rRNA from 1 species
CCUACGGGAGGCAGCAGUGAGGAAUAUUGGUCAAUGGCCGGAAGGCUGAACCAGCCAAGCCGCGUGAAGGACGAAGGUGCCAAGCAUUGUAAACUUCUUUUGUCAAGGGACAAAAUCAGGCUCGAGAGCCUGACCGAGGGUACCUGAAGAAAAAGCAUCGGCUAACUCCGUGCCAGCAGCCGCGGUAAUACGGAGGAUGCGAGCGUUAUCCGGAUUUAUUGGGUUUAAAGGGUGCGUAGGCGGACGGUUAAGUCAGCGGUAAAAGCCCGGGGCUCAACCCCGGCGAGCCGUUGAAACUGGCUGUCUGGAGUUGGCGAGAGGUAUGCGGAAUGCGCGGUGUAGCGGUGAAAUGCUUAGAGAUUGCGCAGAACUCCGAUUGCGAAGGCAGCAUACCGGCGGCGAUCUGACGCUGAGGCACGAAAGCGUGGGGAUCGAACAGGAUUAGAUACCCCAGUAGUC